rnacentral:rRNA from 1 species
CGAAAGCUAGGGGAGCGAACGGGAUUAGAUACCCCGGUAGUCCUAGCUGUAAAUGAUGCAAAUUAGGUGUUGCACGCUCUUCGUGAGUAUGCAGUGCCGAAGGGAAGCCGUUAAAUUUGCCACCUGGGAAGUACGGUCGCAAGGCUGAAACUUAAAGGAAUUGACGGGGGAGCACAACAAGGGGUGGAGCUUGCGGUUUAAUUGGAUAAUACGCCGGAAAUCUCACCAGGAGCGACAACAGAAUGAAGGCCAGGUUGACGAUCUUGCCAGACUUGUUGAGAGGUGGUGCAUGGCCGCCGUCAGUUCGUGCCGUAAGGUGUUCUGUUAAGUCAGACAACGAACAAGACCCACGCCAUUAGUUGCUAGUCAUUCUUUCGAGAGUGAUGCACUCUAAUGGGACCGCUGGUGAUAAAUCAGAGGAAGGGGUGGGCAACGGUAGGUCAGUAUGCCCCGAAUCUCUUGGGCUACACGCGAGCUACAGUGACUGGAACAAUGAGCUGCGACGCCGAAAGGCGAAGCCAAUCCCUAAAUCCAGUCUAGGUUCGGAUCGAGGGCUGUAACUCGCCCUCGUGAAGCCGGAAUCCCUAGUAAUCGAAGUUCAUUAGGCUUCGGUGAAUAUGUCCCUGCUCCUUGUACACACCGCCCGUCAAAUCACCUGAGUUGGGCCUGGAUGAGGCAUUAUCUUUUGGUAGUGUCGAAUCUGAGCUCAGCAAGGGGGGUUAAGUCGUAACAAGGUAUCCGUAGGGGAACCUGUGGAUA